rnacentral:tRNA from 1 species
AGCCCCGUGGGGUAGCGGCCAAUCCUGUCGGUCUUUGGAACCGAUGACCCAGGUUCAAAUCCUGGCGGGGCUA